rnacentral:rRNA from 1 species
CACGUAGGGGGCGAGCGUUGUCCGGAUUUAUUGGGCGUAAAGAGCUCGUAGGCGGCUCAGUAAGUCAGGUGUGAAAACUCCAGGCUCAACCUGGAGACGCCACCUGAUACUGCUGUGGCUAGAGUCCGGUAGGGGAGCAUGGAAUUCCUGGUUGUAGCGGUGAAAAUGCGCAGAUAUCGAGGAGGAACACCUGUGCGAAAGCGGCUCACUGGACC